UACGUAGGAGGCGAGCGUUGUCCGGAGUUACUGGGCGUAAAGGGUGCGCAGGCGGCGGUUCGCGUGGAUAGAUGAAAUCUCCUGGCUUACCUGGGAGGAUGGUAUCCAGACGGGAUCGCUUGAGGGUCGGAGAGGGGCGUGGAAUUCCGGGUGGAGCGGUGAAAUGCGCAGAUAUCGGGAGGAACACCAGUGGCGAAGGCGGCUCGCUGGACCGGUCCUGACGCUCAGGCGCGAAAGCGUGGGGAGCGAUCCGG
rnacentral:rRNA from 1 species